AUGGUAGAUGCUGACCAGAUGACCAAUGACCUACAUCUGACCUUGUCUUUCUGCCCAGGGGUGAGCUGCCUACUGAAGACAGAGCAGAGCCCUCAGUCCCUGAAGAUCCAGGAGGGAGAGAAUGCCUCAAUCAACUGCAGCUGGACAGAUGCUACCAACAAUGGGCUGGAGUGGCUCAGGCAGGAUCCAGGGAAAGGCCUCACCUCCCUAUUUUUCGUAAAUUCAGAGGAGAAGCAGAAUGGAAGGUUAAGAUCCACAAUCAGCAGGAAGGACCGUCAUAGCUCCCUGCACAUCACUGAUGCCCAGCCGGAAGACUCAGCCACCUACCUCUGUGCUGUGGAGGCACAGUGA